rnacentral:rRNA from 1 species
AUGCAGCCGGGCGCGGCGGGAGGCGGCAGCAGCCGGCUCCUGUGUUGCAGGGAAAGCGGGGCGGACCCGGCCGUCACAAGCCGGAGGCGGCGGAGAGCGGGACGCGGCCGGUCACGGGGCGGGCACCCGAAGCCGGCACGAAGCAGGCGGCCCAGGCAUGGGGGGCCGACUGUGCGGCGAGCAGGAGUCGGCCCCAGGAGGACCGAGUGGCGGAGGCGCGUGGGAGCAGACAGGCGGCCGCCGUACCAGCGCAGGCGAGGCGGAGUCCGAGCUCGGGGUGGAGCACCCGGCCGCUGGCAGAGGCAGAGGUGGCCGGGGCGGAGCCGGCAGGCACGAAGCACCCGACCGGGAGGCGCGAGCAGCCGGCGUCGACGGAGUGGCGAAGGAGGCGACGAGGCGCGGCAGCAGCCGGCCGAGGAGCCGUUGCCACAGCCGGCACGGACAGCGGAGCCGGCAGGCGGGUGGAACCAGGCGGCGAGGCGGGUGAGGAGGCGGCGCCGGUGUUGGCGGAGGGGCGUCCGGCCGGGCGCGCACGGGAGGCGGACCAGCGGCGCGGGAAGCCGGCCCGUUGCAGGCCGGGUGGUAGAGGUGGCUCGGAGCAGGCGGCCACAGGCGGGGCGGACCCGGCGGUCGGGAGGCCGACGAGCAGUCGGCUGGCGGAGCACCUGGCCACGGGCAAGGCGGCCAGAGGGGCGCGGGAGGCGGCCAGGUGUGCGGAGCAGCGCAGGCGGCGGGGGCCGGAGCUGCAGGCGGAGAUGGCGCUCGGGGCGCGGCCGCGCGGUAGAGGCGUCCGGGCAUGCAGGCGGCCAGAGCCGGCGAGCCGGCCAUCCGGCGUGGGAGCAGCAGGCGCGGACCCGGCAGUGGCGGCGAGCCGGCCGGACGGGAUGCGGCCACGGCGGGAGCGGAAACCGGCCUCCACGGCGGCAGCCGAGGCGGGCGGGGAGGCACGCGAGGGGAGCCGAGGCACGGUGCGCUGCGGGGCUCGGGAGGGAGAGCUCGCACGCAGGGCCUGCGUGUGCCGAGGCAGCGGCCUCGAGAGGAGCUUCGCGGGCAGUGCAGGGGCGCAGCCGGGGCAGUGCGUUAGCGGUGACUCUGCGAGUGCGGCGGCGAAACUGCGGCUGCAGUAGAGCAGCGCAGGGUCGAGGUCGAGCCACUGUCCGGGCCGUUAUCUGA